GCUAGAGAGAAAACUGAUCUGGGAAUAACUAUUCAAAACUAGUUAUGGCAAUGCAGAUUUCUAAGAAAACAACAUUUCACAAGAGUGAGAAGAAAAAAUGGUAAGAUACUGAAAAAUACUCAAUCUUAAAGUCUGCCUAAUCUCAGUUGCUACUCACUUUAGAUAUACUGAUCUCAACCCACAGAAGGAAUUUUUUUUAAAAGAAGGUACUGUACUAACUUUUUACAUUACAAAAUCUGGCUCAGUUGCAAUCCAGACAUCCAACAGAGCAGGUCUCCUUUGGACUCCUUGGGAAUGGAUUUUUACCACAGAGAAGAAAUGAGUAGAGAGCUCAAGCUGGCUUUUCUCCUUCUGUGGAGACUUGUACUUGCUCCAGGGCUGCUCAUGGACCCCAGGGCCCACUGUUCGCUCCUGUUCCCACCAUCCUCUGAACCAUUGGAGACUGUGCAUUGCUCAGGAAGACAUUCUGGAUUUGGAGAGCUGGUGCUUCUGGUGACAUUGAGAAAUCUCUCAGCUGCCUGGCUACAGGCUAGUCACAGCUGUAAAUCUGGGCUAUAA
rnacentral:lncRNA from 1 species